AGUUUGAUCCUGGCUCAGGACGAACGCUGGCGGCGUGCCUAACACAUGCAAGUCGAGCGGAGGUAUAGAAGGAGUAAUCCGGAUAUACUUUAGCGGCGGACGGGUGAGUAACGCGUGAGCGACCUACCUUACACAGGGGGAUAACGGAGGGAAACCUUCACUAAUACCGCAUAAGACCACAGAGCCGCAUGGCUAGGGGGUCAAAGGAGCAAUCCGGUGAAAGAUGGGCUCGCGUCCUAUUAGAUAGUUGGUGGGGUAACGGCUCACCAAGGCGACGAUCCGUAGCUGGUCUGAGAGGACGACCAGCCACACUGGAACUGAGACACGGUCCAGACUCCUACGGGAGGCAGCAGUGGGGAAUCUUGCACAAUGGGGGAAACCCUGACGCAGCAACGCCGCGUGAAUGAUGAGGGCCUUCGGGUUGUAAAGUUCUGUCUUCUGGGACGAUAAUGACGGUACCAGGGGAGGAAGCCACGGCUAACUACAUGCCAGCAGCCGCGGUAAUACGUAGGUGGCAAGCGUUGUCCGGAUUUACUGGGCGUAAAGGAUGCGUAGGCGGACAUUUAAGUCAGAUGUGAAAUACCCGAGCUUAACUUGGGUGCUGCAUUUGAAACUGGGUGUCUAGAGUGCAGGAGAGGUAAGUGGAAUUCCUAGUGUAGCGGUGAAAUGCGUAGAGAUUAGGA
rnacentral:rRNA from 1 species